AAAAUAUUAAGAAAAUGUUACAACAAUGAAACUAUGUAAAAAAAAAUGUUUACAUGUGGUACAAAGACUUUAGUGGUAGAGAAGCAGUUGAAGAUGAACUUCGUUCAGGAAGACCUUCCACGUCAACCAAUGAAGAAAACAUUACCAAAAUCAAGGAUCUUGUACUGAGUAAUCGCCGAUUAAGUAUUACAGACAUUGUAGACAUUACUGGAAUAUUAUUUGGAUCAGUUCAAUUUUGAAGAACAAUUUAGGCAUCACGAUAACGCACCAUCGCACACGAAACCAUUCAAGAGAGUUCGCUGGCCGCUUUGAAGGAAAUACCAGAAGUCGAGUAUAAAAAUUGUUUCGAAGACUCGAAAAAACGUUGGAAUAAGUAUAUUGCAAUAGGAGGGAAUUACUUUGAAGGAGACAAAAUAAAUUUGGAUGAAUAAAUAAA